AGUUGCGAACGGGUGAGUAACGCGUAGGUAACCUGCCUUGUAGCGGGGGAUAACUAUUGGAAACGAUAGCUAAUACCGCAUAAAAUUGAUUAUUGCAUGAUAGUCAAUUAAAAGGUGCAAUUGCAUCACUACCAGAUGGACCUGCGUUGUAUUAGCUAGUUGGUGAGGUAACGGCUCACCAAGGCGACGAUACAUAGCCGACCUGAGAGGGUGAUCGGCCACACUGGGACUGAGACACGGUCCAGACUCC
rnacentral:rRNA from 1 species